GGAGAGGUGGCUCAGAGGUUAAGAGCACUGGCUGCUCUUCCAGAGGUCCUGAGUUCAAUUCUCAGCAACCACA
rfam:Mesocricetus auratus contig175728, whole genome shotgun sequence.